GAGUAAUGUCUGGGAAACUGCCUGAUGGAGGGGGAUAACUACUGGAAACGGUGGCUAAUACCGCAUAACGUCGCAAGACCAAAGAGGGGGACCUUCGGGCCUCUUGCCAUCAGAUGUGCCCAGAUGGGAUUAGCUUGUUGGUGAGGUAACGGCUCACCAAGGCGACGAUCCCUAGCUGGUCUGAGAGGAUGACCAGCCACACUGGAACUGAGACACGGUCCAGACUCCUACGGGAGGCAGCAGUGGGGAAUAUUGCACAAUGGGCGCAAGCCUGAUGCAGCCAUGCCGCGUGUAUGAAGAAGGCCUUCGGGUUGUAAAGUACUUUCAGCGGGGAGGAAGGUGUUGUGGUUAAUAACCGCAGCAAUUGACGUUACCCGCAGAAGAAGCACCGGCUAACUCCGUGCCAGCAGCCGCGGUAAUACGGAGGGUGCAAGCGUUAAUCGGAAUUACUGGGCGUAAAGCGCACGCAGGCGGUCUGUCAAGUCGGAUGUGAAAUCCCCGGGCUCAACCUGGGAACUGCAUUCGAAACUGGCAGGC
rnacentral:rRNA from 4 species